rnacentral:lncRNA from 1 species
GAAGGAGUCUAUAAGAAAAGUUUGAAAUAAAAAACCCUUUUCGUGUGUUUCUAUAAUGUUCUAAAUAAUUCCCUUAUCAAAUUUCUGUCCAAUCCUCACGACGAAUUCAAAGUACUCUGAAUGAUUCUUUAGGAUCCUCUUUUUAAACUAAAAUUCUGCAAAAUUCUUCCACGAGUAGAGUAAAGUCGAAGAAAGUAGCCGAGAGAAGAAGGGUGAAAUGAAAGGCUAAGCAAAA